rnacentral:snRNA from 1 species
AUCGCUUCUCGGCCUUUUGGCUAAGAUCAGGUGUAGUAUCUGUUCUUAUCAGUUUAAUAACUCAUCCUUCAAUAAAAGGAAAAGGAUGGAUUAACCCUU